rnacentral:rRNA from 1 species
UACAGAGGUCUCGAGCGUUGUUCGGAUUCAUUGGGCGUAAAGGGUGCGUAGGCGGCGUGGUAAGUCUGGUGUGAAAUCCUGGAGCUUAACUCCAGAAAUGCACUGGAUACUGCCAUGCUAGAGGACUGGAGAGGAGAUUGGAAUUCACGGUGUAGCAGUGAAAUGCGUAGAUAUCGUGAGGAAGACCAGUGGCGAAAGCGAAUCUCUGGACAGUUCCUGACGCUGAGGCACGAAGGUCAGGGGAGCAAACGGG